ACUGUCAAAGAGCUAUUACGGUUGGCUGCAUAGAAUUCUGAGGAAAGACAAAUCUGUGCAAUUUUCUCCUUGGAGAAAAAAUGGUUUUUGGUGCUUUUAGGUUUUCCUAAACUAUUUUGGUAAAGAAAAAUAUUAAUUAGUUUUUAAAUAUUUUCUUUAUUUUUUAUAUGUAUAUGAUAAUACUAGGGGCUUUAUCUGGGCUGAAACCUUUACUAUGAAUGUGUAGCUCUCUGAUGGAUGCACAUUAGCAUUCCAGUAUGUGGAUCUCCUUUUACAUGCUGCUGCUUUGCAGAGUCUUGUGUCACUCUCCCAGGACUAUGUGUAUUUCCUCUCAUUCAGCUCUUGCCCACUGAUCAGCUGUGUAUUCUUCUUGGAAGAAAAGGGAUGGAAAAUCCCACACUGACAUGCGGUAAUAAAAGGGCAGAACAAUUUUCAGUUCCUAUUGCUGCAAGUAAUUUCUUUGUACUCCCAAAUUCUGCCCCUGUCAUAUUGUCAGUAGCUGGUGGCUAGCAAGGUAUCUUGAAGUUCAAAGCAGAGGUCUGCACAUUCAAAAAGGUGUUGGAACAGAAAACCAAAAACUUUACCUAAAUAAUGGUGAGGAUAGGUGACCUGUUGGAAAUAAAGAAAUAUUACUUCUAAAGCUAUCUGGAAAGAA